CUCCCUGUGGUGUAGUUGGCUAUCACGUUCGACUGUAAUUGUCCCAGAUUUCCAUCGAAAGGUCACCGGCUCGAUUCCGGUCGGGGAGA
rfam:Verticillium longisporum isolate VL1 genome assembly, contig: scaffold_25434